rnacentral:rRNA from 1 species
AUUGAACGCUGGCGGCAGGCCUAACACAUCCAAGUCGAGCGGAGCGGCUGACGGGUGUGUAAUGCCUAGGAAUCUGCCUGGUAGUGGGGGAUAACGUCCGGAAACGGGCGCUAAUACCGCAUACUAGCAGAUGAGCCUAGGUCGGAAUCGCUUGUGUGUGGGGUAAAGGCCUGCCAAGGCGACGAUGCGUAACUGGUUUGAGAGGAUGAUCAGUCACACUGGAACUGGUCCACGGUCCAGACUCCUAAGGGAGGCAGCAGUGGGGAAUAUUGGACAAGGGGCGAAAGCCUGAUCCAGCCAUUCCGCGUGUGUGAAGAAGGUCUUCGGAUUGUAAAGCACUUUAAGUUGAGAGGCGUUACCAACAGAAUGGGCACCGGCUAACUUCGUGCCAGCAGCCGCGGUAAUUC